rnacentral:rRNA from 1 species
CCUACGGGGUGCAGCAGUGAGGAAUAUUGGUCAAUGGGCGCGAGCCUGAACCAGCCAAGUCGCGUGAAGGAUGACUGCCCUACGGGUUGUAAACUUCUUUUAUAAAGGACUAAAGUGAGGCACGUUUGCCUUUUUGUAUGUACUUUAUGAAUAAGGAUCGGCUAACUCCGGGCCAGCAGCCGCGGUAAUACGGGGGAGCCGAGCGUUAUCCGGAUUUAUUGGGUUUAAGGGGAGCUUAGAUGGGUUGUUAAGUCAGUUGUGAAAGUUUGCGGUUAAACCGUAAAAUUGCAAUUGAUACUGGCAGUCUUGAGUACAGGUGCGGUAGGCGGAAUUCGUGGUGUAGCGGUGAAAUGCUUAGAUAUCACGAAGAACUCCGAUUGCGAAGGCAGCUUACGAAACCGCCACUGACAUUGAUGCUCGAAAGUGUGGGUAUCAAACAGGAUUAGAUACCCCAGUAGUC